GUCCCGGCUGUAAACGGUGGGCACUAGGUGUGGGGCAUCGACCCCUCCCGUGCCGCAGCUAACGCAUUAAGUGCCCCGCCUGGGGAGUACGACCGCAAGGUUGAAACUCAAAGGAAUUGACGGGGCCCGCACAAGCGGUGGAGCAUGUGGUUUAAUUCGAUGCAACGCGAAGAACCUUACCUAGGCUUGACAUGCACCGGACAGGUGUGGAAACACACCCUCCUUUCGGGGCCGUGCACAGGUGCUGCAUGGCUGUCGU
rnacentral:rRNA from 1 species